UACGUAGGGUGCGAGCGUUAAUCGGAAUUACUGGGCGUAAAGUGUGCGCAGGCGGCCGCGCAAGUCGAGUGUGAAAUCCCCGAGCUUAACUUGGGAAUUGCGCUCGAAACUACGUGGCUGGAGUGUGGCAGAGGAAGGUGGAAUUCCACGUGUAGCGGUGAAAUGCGUAGAGAUGUGGAGGAACACCGAUGGCGAAGGCAGCCCCCCUGGGCUAACACUGACGCUCAUGCACGAAAGCGUGGGGAGCAAACAGG
rnacentral:rRNA from 1 species